rnacentral:rRNA from 1 species
GAUAAACGCUGGCGGCGUGCCUAAUACAUGUAAGUCGAACGAGGAUCUUUUGUAGCAAUACGGAAGUUUCCUAGUGGCGAACGGGUGAGUAACGCGUUGGUGACCUGCCCCAAAGUGAGGGAUAACAGUUCGAAAGGACUGCUAAUACCGCAUGAGGUCAUUGAGGUUAGAGGCUGAAUGACGAAAGGAGCAAUCCGUUUUGGGAGGGGCCUGCGUCCCAUCAGCUAGUUGGUAGGGUAAAAGCCUACCAAGGCGACGACGGGUAGGGGGCCUGAGAGGGUGAUCCCCCACACUGGCACUGAAACACGGGCCAGACACCUACGGGAGGCUG